rnacentral:rRNA from 1 species
UGCAAGUCGAGCGGAUGACGGGAGCUUGCUCCUUGAUUCAGCGGCGGACGGGUGAGUAAUGCCUAGGAAUCUGCCUGGUAGUGGGGGACAACGUUUCGAAAGGAACGCUAAUACCGCAUACGUCCUACGGGAGAAAGCAGGGGACCUUCGGGCCUUGCGCUAUCAGAUGAGCCUAGGUCGGAUUAGCUAGUUGGUGGGGUAAUGGCUCACCAAGGCGACGAUCCGUAACUGGUCUGAGAGGAUGAUCAGUCACACUGGAACUGAGACACGGUCCAGACUCCUACGGGAGGCAGCAGUGGGGAAUAUUGGACAAUGGGCGAAAGCCUGAUCCAGCCAUGCCGCGUGUGUGAAGAAGGUCUUCGGAUUGUAAAGCACUUUAAGUUGGGAGGAAGGGCAGUAAGCUAAUACCUUGCUGUUUUGACGUUACCGACAGAAUAAGCACCGGCUAACUCUGUGCCAGCAGCCGCGGUAAUACAGAGGGUGCAAGCGUUAAUCGGAAUUACUGGGCGUAAAGCGCGCGUAGGUGGUUCGUUAAGUUGGAUGUGAAAGCCCCGGGCUCAACCUGGGAACUGCAUCCAAAACUGGCGAGCUAGAGUACGGUAGAGG